rnacentral:rRNA from 1 species
GCAAGUCGUGGGGUAUAUACUUCGGUAUAGAGACCGGCGCACGGGUGAGUAACACGUAAGAAUCUACCUACAGGUGGGGGAUAGCCUAUGGAAACAUAGGGUAAUACCGCAUGUGACGAGAGUUAAAAGCUACUUUUGUAGCGCCAGUAGAUGAGCUUGCGGUCCAUUAGCUAGUUGGCGGGGUAAAUGCCCACCAAGGCUACGAUGGAUAGCCGGCCUGAGAGGGUGAUC